rnacentral:rRNA from 1 species
UACAGAGGUCCCAAGCGUUGUUCGGAUUCACUGGGCGUAAAGGGUGCGUAGGCGGUCUUAUAAGUCAGUGCUGAAAUAUCCCGGCUUAACCGGGAGGGUGGCAUUGAUACUGUAGGACUUGAGUAAAGUUGAGGUUGGCGGAAUUGACGGUGUAGCGGUGAAAUGCUUAGAUAUCGUCAAGAACACCUAUAGCGAAGGCAGCUAACUAAACUUUAACUGACGCUGAGGCACGAAAGUGUGGGGAUCAAACAGG